rnacentral:tRNA from 1 species
UGGGGUAUCGCCAAGCGGUAAGGCACCGGAUUAUGAUUCCGGCAUUCCGAGCUCCGCCUGCGCCAUCCA